rnacentral:rRNA from 1 species
UGUGGAAUCUUGGACAAUGGGCGAAAGCCUGAUCCAGCCAUGCCGCGUGUGUGAAGAAGGUCUUCGGAUUGUAAAGCACUCUAAGUUGGGAGGAAGGGCAGUAAGCGAAUACCUUGCUGUUUUGACGUUACCGACAGAAUAAGCACCGGCUAACUCUGUGCCAGCAGCCGCGGUAAUACAGAGGGUGCAAGCGUUAAUCGGAAUUCCUGGGCGUAAAGCGCGCGUAGGUGGUUCGUUAAGUUGAAUGUGAAAGCCCCGGGCUCAACCUGGGAACUGCAUCCAAAACUGGCGAGCUAGAGUAGGGCAGAGGGUGGUGGAAUUGCCUGUGUAGCGGUGAAAUGCGUAGAUAUAGGAAGGAACACCAGUGGCGAAGGCGACCACCUGGGCUCAUACUGACACUGAGGUGCGAAAGCGUGGGGAGCAAACAGG